rnacentral:rRNA from 1 species
CCUACGGGGGGCAGUAGUGAGGAAUAUUGGUCAAUGGACGAGAGUCUGAACCAGCCAAGUAGCGUGAAGGAUGACUGCCCGAUGGGUUGUAAACUUCUGUUAUAGGGGAAUAAAACGUGCCACGUGGGGGAUUUUGUAUGUACCAUAUGAAUAAGGAUCGGCUAACUCCGUGCCAGCAGCCGCGGUAAUACGGAGGAUCCGAGCGUUAUCCGGAUUUAUUGGGUUUAAAGGGAGCGUAGGUGGAUUGUUAAGUCAGUUUUGACAGUUUGCGGCUCAACCGUAAAAUUGCAGUUGAAACUGGCAGUCUUGAGUACAGUAGUGGUGGUCGGCAUUCGUGGUGUAGCUG